GUUAAUUUAUAAAAGUGUCCGUUUCUAUUGAAAUCUGCACUUUUUGCAAAAUGAGAUAAAGAGGGCACACUUUUCACACACAAAGUUUUUUAAGGAAGCUAAAGUUCUUUAGGAGUCUGAAGUGCCUCUUUAAGGGGUUAAAUAACAGGACUAAUGUCCUGCUUUCAAAACCAGUUAGACGAUUCCAUACAAUUAUCUCAUUACCAUGCAGCACAGGCUAUUUUGUUUUCUGUCUUUACCUUAUAUCACCAAUCCUAAUAUAGAUUAAAGUCAGAUGGAGUUCUUUGCCAUGCCUACCUGUUAGGAGCAAUUUUUGGAACUCUAACUCAUAAUUUUUUUUAAAU